AUUGAACGCUGGCGGCAGGCCUAACACAUGCAAGUCGAGCGGAUGAAGGGAGCUUGCUCCUGGAUUCAGCGGCGGACGGGUGAGUAAUGCCUAGGAAUCUGCCUGGUAGUGGGGGAUAACGUCCGGAAACGGGCGCUAAUACCGCAUACGUCCUGAGGGAGAAAGUGGGGGAUCUUCGGACCUCACGCUAUCAGAUGAGCCUAGGUCGGAUUAGCUAGUUGGUGGGGUAAAGGCCUACCAAGGCGACGAUCCGUAACUGGUCUGAGAGGAUGAUCAGUCACACUGGAACUGGGACACGGUCCAGCCCCCUACGGGAGGCAGCGGUGGGAAUUAUUGGACAGUGGGCGAAAGCCUGUUCCAGCCAUGCCGCGUGUGUGAAGAAGGUCUUCGGAUGGUAAAGCACUUUAAGUUGGGAGUAAGGGCAGUAAGUUAAUACCUUGCUGUUUUGACGUUACCAACAGAAUAAGCACCGGCUAACUCCUU
rnacentral:rRNA from 1 species